GAGAAGGGGUAGAGACGGGUGCACUGUGCAGAGGGAAUUUUUUUUUCAGCGCCGGAUCCUGCAGAGGGGCGAGGCGCUCUAUUUUGUUUUGUGGAAAUCGGCAAUUAUUUCUAGUUGGAUCAAUGGGCAUAAUUUCUGAGAGGUCGGGUGGGUCUGCGUAAGCUUCUACGCGCAUUUGGAAACCCAUUGGGUUUUGAGUUACGAAACCGCACAGACUUUCUCCCACCCCAGCGGCUCCGGGCAAUAAGCUAGGCCUGCCCUACACGGAGCAAGCGAGCGUCAGGCCUUCCCGAGGGAUUCCCAGAAGCAUGACCCGGUUCUGGUCGCAGUCCACCGAGGAUUGGAGCGGCAGUGACACGGGCGGCCCUGCAGCGGUAGAGCCAAGGAUUUCAGGAAGGUUCUUUCCAAUGUUUUAUUCAGCUUCCAGCCUCUCAGCUUUGGGCCUUCAGGGAAAGUGUUGACUAGGGAGUACAAGGUUCUCAGCUGGGGUCCACUGAGGAGGUAGGAAGAAAAGAGAGCUGCCACUCCUGCCUGGAGCUGAACAACAGGCCAAGAAGAGUUUGGUGUUGGAUGUGACAGAGAAAACAUUAAAGGAAUAUUCUGGUUGAGC
rnacentral:lncRNA from 1 species